AAUGACUCUACAUUACUUUAUUAUUUCUUAGAUCAAGUAUCUAUACAGUCUUAAGAUACACUCAAAAUAGAUUGUACGUAGUACAUAAAUAUAAACCGAUAAACAUUGCUUUAUUGAUAUAGAUAAUAAGGAAUUCAAUCUAUAAUUUGAGGACUGCGUAGACGUUCAUCGAUUUGGAGUUUUAUAGCCCUCUUUUUCGUUUAUGGAUAUUUUUGUUUAAUUCGUCGAUUAUAUAAAAGUAACAGUAAGAAUCAAAAUUCCUUAAUUCGGGCUACAACUCCUCCAUCCCUCAACCUGCGGAUGCUCCUGGGGCUCUUGGAAGGCUUCACAAUGUCCAUAUUCCUCACCACUUCAACUUCAGCAUCGAUAAGAUUUGAGAUACGCUGCUUUUUGGAUUUAUCAUAACUCAUGAUGGCGAGAUGACGAAACGUUUAUUAUAGUUUGUUUAUGCAGAGAAGAUGGCUGAACCAGAUUGUUAAAAAAUAUUCACUAAACCCUCCUUUAUUAAUUAAGAAAAUUAUUAAAAGUCCAUUUUUCAACCAUGUAUGCAUAUAUUAAUUUUUUUUUAAAGAAAAUGUCUUAUUUUCGAAUGGAUUAGAAUAUAAUUAUUAUGCAAAUUUUGUGCAAAAUUGAACAACUUUCAACACACCAGAAUAUAUAUAUAUAU
rnacentral:lncRNA from 1 species